CUCUUAUCAAGAGUUGGCAGAGGGACUUGGCCCGAUGACGCCGCAGCAACCGACCGCAAAACCAAUCAUUGGUUUUAAUUUGGAUCUUUUUCCAAUAGGGCACGGUGCUAAUUCCAUCAGAAAGACAUUCUUUCUGACAGAUGAGAG
rnacentral:ncRNA from 1 species